rnacentral:rRNA from 1 species
GAAACAAGAAACACGGGAGCGGUUCCUUCCUGAUUCUCGCAUGUCAUGCAUGCCAGGGGGCGUCCGUGAUUUUUACUGUGACUAAAAAAGUGUGACCAAAGCAGUCAUCCGACUUGAAUUAAAAAGCAUGGGAUAACAAAGGAUGAUUCUAUGGGGCACCGUUUCCGCUUUUGUUGGUUUUAUUUUUCCUGUGAAUAUUAUGGGGCUGUGCGACAAGCGUCUGGGCGCGUGUGUCCUCUUCGAGGCCACCGUCGAGCACCUUUGGGGCAAAUCUUUGGGCUUGUGUCAUGGUAUUUUCCCUGUUGAAGAUCACCUUCUCGUACCUCACGCCAUCGGGCACUGGUGGACGCUUCUUCGGGGGAGAACGGACUGUUUCCUCGAAAGUGAAGUUCUUGUACCGCGCCAUUACCAACGACCACGAACGCCUUCUUCAAGGAUACCUUCCUCAAUCAUGAAGGAGGGGUGGGGAUCGAAGAUGAUUAUGGACCAUUGUAGGCCACACUGCUAAACAUGACCCCCAUGAAUUGGGGAGUUUGUGGUCUUCAACGAGGGCGAGUUCAUCUCGUUCCUCUCGUCUCGCCAAUGUUUAUCAAUUUACAUGCAUGUUCUGUACGGUGCCCUGUUACACGGGGGCCUUUAUCUAAGGGAAUAUCCUCAGACACGUUUUCUUACUUCUUCACUCCUCUCGCUCUGAGGUUACAGUCUCAUGGGGGAGUACAUUCUGUACAGUGACAUGUAAAGAAAUUGACGGAAUGUACCACAAGACCUGGAGCGUGUGGCUUACUUUGACUCACCACAGGUAACUUUAUCCGAUCCGGAGAGGGAGAGGAUUGACAGAAUGAGUACUCUUACUCGAUCCCCUGAAUGCACGUGCAUGGGCGCUUUUUGUCGGUGGAGUGAACUCAUGGGUGAUACUGUACCCGAUCCAGAUCCAAGCUGCCCAGUAG